rnacentral:rRNA from 1 species
AUUGAACGCUGGCGGCAGGCUUAACACAUGCAAGUCGAGCGGGGUGAUGGUGCUUGCACUAUCACUUAGCGGCGGACGGGUGAGUAAUGCUUAGGAAUCUGCCUAUUAGUGGGGGACAACAUCUCGAAAGGGAUGCUAAUACCGCAUACGUCCUACGGGAGAAAGCAGGGGAUCACUUGUGACCUUGCGCUAAUAGAUGAGCCUAAGUCGGAUUAGCUAGUUGGUGGGGUAAAGGCCUACCAAGGCGACGAUCUGUAGCGGGUCUGAGAGGAUGAUCCGCCACACUGGGACUGAGACACGGACCAGACUCCUACGGGAGGCAGCAGUGGGGAAUAUUGGACAAUGGGGGGAACCCUGAUCCAGCCAUGCCACGUGUGUGAAGAAGGCCUUAUGGUUGUAAAGCACUUUAAGCGAGGAGGAGGCUCUUUUGGUUAAUACCCAAGAUGAGUGGACGUUACUCGCAGAAUAAGCACCGGCUAACUCUGUGCCAGCAGCCGCCGUAA